AUGAAGAGGCUAGCAGGCACUGUGCUGGGGCUUUUGCUUGCCCAGGUUUGCUGUGUGCGAGGGGUGGAUGUGGAGCAGAGUCCCCCAGCCCUGAGUCUCCAGGAGGGAGCCAGCUACACGCUUUGGUGUAAUUUUUCCACUUCCCCACCGAGUGUGAAUUGGUAUCUUCAGAACCCUGGGGGCCACCUCAUCCACCUGUUUUACAUUCCUUCAGGGACAAAGCAGGAAGGAAGAUUAAAGGCCACGACAGUCCCUGCAGAACGCCGCAGCUCACUGCACAUUUCCUCUCCGCGGACCACAGACUCGGGCACUUACUUCUGUGCUGCGCAGCACGGUGCUCCCCAGGCACCUGCGGCCUCUACAGGAACCCUCCCGGGGCUCAGCCCCUCCUCCAGCCUCAGUCACACCGUGAGGCCCCACAGGGCAUUUUCAGUGCUUAGUAAUCCUUAGGAACAUUGGUAUAGGUAUAACCACAAACACUUUUUAGCCCAACAGAUUUCUGUUGGUCUUUUCCCUUUGCAGUCUAUCUCCUUCUGCACUAGAACCUCUAACUUGUAACUAAAAAUGUAGCUGAUAAGAGGACAGAAUUAAAAUAAGUAUUUCUCACAGUAUGCUGGACUCCAAAACAGUAAACAUUGAAAGCAACUAAAAGAAGAGAGAAAUCUCUCCAGUAAGGAUAUUAUCCAGCUUGGUUGGGUGUCUCAAGAAUGUUCAGAUCUGUCUCACUGUGAUGUAUCCCAACAGGC